AAAAAAAAUCUGACGGACAAAAAAAAAACAUACAAACUAACUAAUCCAAAAACAAUACUCCGUGAACAUGCAACAUAUGAUGUCGACGAAGUAACGAACAAACUCAAAAAUGGAUGAGUUGAGCAAAACUAACCGAUUAAGAAAACCAUAUGUUCUGAAAGAGAGUGAAAACUCAGAUGAAACUCGACGAGGGUAACACCGCACGAAAGCUCUUGACAAGGAGAGUCGGAAAACCCGCUCUGAUGCCAUGUUAACAUCCAUGGAAGCUUCGGAUUUAAGAGAGAAAAGAUGAAGAAGAUGAACAGUUGAAGAGAAAGAGAGAGAAUCUGAAAAGCUUCCCGUAUAUUGUUAUAUCUCGAAUGUUCUAUUCUAGUAUCUAUAUACAAUGCCAAAGAAAAGGAAAA
rnacentral:lncRNA from 1 species